rnacentral:rRNA from 1 species
UAACACAUGCAAGUCGAGGGGCAGCAUGGUCUUAGCUUGCUAAGGCCGAUGGCGACCGGCGCACGGGUGAGUAACACGUAUCCAACCUGCCGUCUACUCUUGGACAGCCUUCUGAAAGGAAGAUUAAUACAAGAUGGCAUCAUGAGUCCGCAUGUCCACAUGAUUAAAGGUAUUCCGGUAGACGAUGGGGAUGCGUUCCAUUAGAUAGUAGGCGGGGUGACGGCCCACCUAGUCUUCGAUGGAUAGGGGUUCUGAGAGGAAGGUCCCCCACAUUGGAACUGAGACACGGUCCAAACUCCUACGGGAGGCAGCAGUGAGGAAUAUUGGUCAAUGGGCGAGAGCCUGAACCAGCCAAGUAGCGUGAAGGAUGACUGCCCUAUGGGUUGUAAACUUCUUUUAUAAAGGAAUAAAGUCGGGUAUGGAUACCCGUUUGCAUGUACUUUAUGAAUAAGGAUCGGCUAACUCCGUGCCAGCAGCCGCGGUAAUACGGAGGAUCCGAGCGUUAUCCGGAUUUAUUGGGUUUAAAGGGAGCGUAGAUGGAUGUUUAAGUCAGUUGUGAAAGUUUGCGGCUCAACCGUAAAAUUGCAGUUGAUACUGGAUAUCUUGAGUGCAGUUGAGGCAGGCGGAAUUCGUGGUGUAGCGGUGAAAUGCUUAGAUAUCACGAAGAACUCCGAUUGCGAAGGCAGCCUGCUAAGCUGCAACUGACAUUGAGGCUCGAAAGUGUGGGUAUCAAA